rnacentral:rRNA from 1 species
GUGGGGAAUUUUGGACAAUGGGCGCAAGCCUGAUCCAGCCAUUCCGCGUGAGUGAAGAAGGCCUUCGGGUUGUAAAGCUCUUUCGGCAGGAACGAAACGGUCUGGGUUAAUACCCUGGGCUAAUGACGGUACCUGAAGAAGAAGCACCGGCUAACUACGUGCCAGCAGCCGCGGUAAUACGUAGGGUGCGAGCGUUAAUCGGAAUUACUGGGCGUAAAGCGUGCGCAGGCGGUUCUAUAAGACAGAUGUGAAAUCCCCGGGCUUAACCUGGGAACUGCGUUUGUGACUGUAGGACUUGAGUGUGGCAGAGGGGGGUGGAAUUCCACGUGUAGCAGUGAAAUGCGUAGAGAUGUGGAGGAACACCGAUGGCGAAGGCAGCCCCCUGGGUCAACACUGACGCUCAUGCACGAAAGCGUGGGUAGCAAACAGGAUUAGAUACCCGAGUAGUCC